CCAGCCCGCUCGAAGAACUUACAGGAAGUUGACGGGGCCGCACAAGCGGAGGAGCAUGUGGUUUAAUUCGAUGAUACGCGAGGAACCGUUACCUGGGCUCGAACGUAAGAUGACUGUAGGUGAAAGCUUACAGUCUCUUCGGAGCAUUUUACGAGGUGCUGCAUGGUUGUCGUCAGCUCGUGCCGUGAGGUGUCGGGUUAAGUCCCAUAACGAGCGCAACCCUACCUUUAGUUGCCAUCAGGUAAUGGCUGGGGACUCUAAAGGAACUGCCUACGCAAGUAGUGAGGAAGGCGGGGAUGACGUCAAAUCAGCACGGCCCUUACGUCCAGGGCUACACACGUGCUACAAUGGCCGAUACAGAGGGCAGCUACCUGGUGACAGGAUGCAAAUCUCCAAAGUCGGUCUCAGUUCGGAUCGGAGUCUGCAACCCGACUCCGUGAAGUUGGAUUCGCUAGUAAUCGCGCAUCAGCCAUGGCGCGGUGAAUACGUUCCCGGGCCUU
rnacentral:rRNA from 1 species